UUGCCAUGGCAACGAGCCAAAGGGAGCAUGUAAGGAGGAAGGAAGAAGAUGGGGAGAGGGAGAAAAGGAAAGAAAGAAAGAGGGGAGGCAGAAAGAAAGGUAAGAGGAAUAGAGGAGAGAAGGGAGAGAAAGGAGAGGGGAAUAUAGAGAGAAAGGUAGCUGGUACAGAAUGGGAGGAAACAGAGAGAGAAAGGAAGUUGGUACAGAAUGGGAGGAAACAGAGAGAGAAAGGUAGCUGGUACAGAAUGGGGGGAAACAGAGAGAGAAAGGUAGCUGGUACAGAAUGGGAGGAAACAGAGAGAGAAAGGAAGUUGAUACAGAAUGGGAGGAAACAGAGAGAGAAAGGAAGUUGGUACAGAAUGGGGGGAAACAGAGAGAGAAAGGUAGCUGGUACAGAAUGGGUGGAAACAGAGAGAGAAAGGUAGCUGGUACAGAAUGGGAGGAAACAGAGAGAGAAAGGAAGUUGGUACAGAAUGGGGGGAAACAGAGAGAGAAAGGAAGUUGGUAUGGAAUGGGGGAAACAGAGAGAGAAAGGAAGUUGAUACAGAAUGGGAGGAAACAGAGAGAAAGGAAGUUGGUAUGGAAUGGGGGAAACAGAGAGAGAAAGGAAGUUGAUACAGAAUGGGAGGAAACAGAGAGAAAGGAAGUUGGUAUGGAAUGGGGGAAACAGAGAGAGAAAGGAAGUUGAUACAGAAUGGGCGGAAACAGAGAGAAAGGAAGUUGGUAUGGAAUGGGGGAAACAGAGAGAGAAAGGAAGUUGAUACAGAAUGGGAGGAAACAGAGCGAAAGGAAGUUGGU
rnacentral:lncRNA from 1 species